AGUAUGCAAGAAGCUGCACUGCAGUCUAAAUUAGUGAUUUUUAAAACAAUAAACAAAUAUUCAUUUAAAACAAUGUAACCACAAUAGAACAUGAAAACCGUUAUUGAACUGAGAUACUUAAAUUUCUCUUAAAAAAUGAACCAACACUAGUAAGCAUCAACCGGUGUGUAAAAAUGGAUACAUUUAGUACAGAAAUCAUUAGCAAAAGCUAUUCUAGUCUUUCCGGCCAGAACAAGUAUGAAUGUAACAGAAUAGAUUAUAGUAUUACUAAAAGUAAUAGCAGCGAAGCCGAAGUAUUUAACGAUAAAAAUAUGAAUUCUAAAAACACAUCUAACCCCACUAUCGGACAACUAAGUGCACAAGUCAUGAAUCUACCAUACAAUGAUUACGAAAAAGUUAUUACAGACGAAGCAUUUGAAAGCCGUAAUAAGUCUUCCUUAAAAGAAUACGAUAUCUUAAAACGAAUAAAAGAAGCAUAUGACGCUUGUUCUUGCAAGAUUUGCAGGUGUCUUAUGGGGCCAACGACAACACCUCGUGACGAAUAUUGUGAUUGUGAACCUUGCAAAUGUAAAGACUGCACACUGAAUAGCCUAAGGUUCAAUACUAUUAACGUACAGUCACGUUCAGGAAAUGAGUUUCUCAACGUAAAAGAAACAAGUUGUGAUUGCAGGCCUUGUAACUGUAUGGAAUGUGUUCAGAAUUGUAGUUUUAGAAGUAAACCGAUCAAUUAUGACAUACCUAUUGGAAUCAAUAAACAUUUGGGUCGUCCUAAUAUAACCACAAAUAAAGCUUAUUCAAAUACGAAAUGUGCGUGCAGUAAAUGCCAAUGCAUCAUAUGUGAAUCCCAAGGAAAUGCUUUGACUUGUUAUUCAUCGUUGCGGUAUGGAAAUAAACCAUCUCAAAAGUUAACAUGUCCUGAAUUCAGUAAAUGUUCAACAUGGAAAAAUCAACAUACCUCAGAGUCAAUUGAUUAUGCUACUUGUGAUAUGUGUCAUUUUGAACAAUGUGUACGAAACUCUGAACCUCAAAACGAUUUAAACAAAAUGAAUCCGAAUAACAAUCACGGAGGCUCAAACAAACCCUCUAUAGAGCUAAACCCUUUAACACAUGAACGCAAUGAAUACGCACAUGUUAAAUUCAGACGUGGCAAUAUAUUUUACGUGAACAAUGCGAGAACAUACGAUCCGACUAAAAUAAUAUUACGGCCGAAACAACCUAGAAUAAAAGAAAAUAUAAUUGGCUUACCUCUUCCCAAGGAUAUUAACCAAAAUUUAAAGAACAAUAGUCAAAGGAAAUCGACUCAGUUUGAUAAGAAUAAUACUCUGUUAACUGCAGUUUUCAAUACAAAUGCCCUUGAACAAAAAACCACGCUUAGCAAUGUCUCAGCUGAUUUUUAUCCUCAUUUAAAUAUACUUGGAGAUUUAUUACCAAUGAAUAAAGUACACAAGACAAGUCCAUAUUCAUUUUCGUCGGGAUUCAGCUCUACACGAACAACCACCUCAUCGUCGGUAUUAAAAUAUCAAAACAAAGGUUGCAGCACACGCACUAUUUCCUUACCUGAUAUAAAUAUUUUUGACAGUCAUACGGAAAUUGGUUCAAAUUUCAAUACUACUGAAGUUCGAAAAUCUGUCAUAUCUAAUUAUACGACUCAGCAUAACAUUUAUCAUUGCUCUAAUAUUGAAUCUGAGUUUAAUGAUAUUGGUGUCAAGUUAGUACGUAAGCUACAUAAAUAUCCAAAUGAUAUCGGAAACCGAGUUGCUGGUAAUGAGUUAUUUGAUCAUUUAAACCAUUUUUUUACAAAAAGACGGUGUAACGUUGAGCAAACGAAUACAGUCAAUUAUAAUAGUAUACAUAAAACAGUUCUGAAUGCUAAGCAAUUUACUAUUGAUUUGACUAAGAUUUUACAUAAGUACGAAAAAGCUAAUUUGGAAUUUAAAAGCGUUUCUAAAAAACUGAAAAAGUCUCUGUAUAUGGUUUUAAAUGGUUUCAGCAGUAGUAAAUGUGACAGUAUUAUAAAACAAACAGCGGUUAUUGAAGAAAAAAACGGGGCAUCAAACGCGAGUACAGAAAACGAUCCAAACUCAGACUACUCAGAGCAUUUUGAAAUUGUUAACCAAUCUAAGUUUAAAAAUUUAAAAGAAGAGAAUGAAUUAGUUGAAACGACAAAAAACGUUAACAUUGAUACACUUAAGAACCAUAAUAAACAUCUAGAACAACAAGAACAAGUGUUAAAAAUAAUAACAAGAGUAAUAAAUGAAUCACGAGAUAAUAAAGAAAAAGUAUGUGAUGAAAGUAGAAAUAUUGUAAUUAAGAGCGCUCUUGUGGAUAAAUCACAAAUGCACGGCAUUACAGAACAGGAACCUGUGGAUAGUGAGGUAGAAUUACUAAGAGAGAAGAAAAUACGUGAUAUUUUGAAACAAAACAUGAUGCUGGAUCUUUUUACAGAAUAAAAUAUGUCAUCGCCGAUGAACAUUUGCAUGAUUUAACUUGUGCAGAUUUCCGUUAACACUUCGUUACAAAAGUAUA